UUCUGGCUCAGGAUGAACGCUAGCUACAGGCUUAACACAUGCAAGUCGAGGGGCAGCAUUGGAGUAGCAAUACUCAGAUGGCGACCGGCGCACGGGUGAGUAACACGUAUCCAACCUGCCGCUUACUCGGGGAUAGCCUUUCGAAAGAAAGAUUAAUACCCGAUGGUAUAAAGAGUUCGCAUGUUCUCUUUAUUAAAGAAUUUCGGUAAGCGAUGGGGAUGCGUUCCAUUAGAUAGUUGGCGGGGUAACGGCCCACCAAGUCUACGAUGGAUAGGGGUUCUGAGAGGAAGGUCCCCCACAUUGGAACUGAGACACGGUCCAAACUCCUACGGGAGGCAGCAGUGAGGAAUAUUGGUCAAUGGACGAGAGUCUGAACCAGCCAAAAGUAGCGUGAAGGAUGACUGCCCUAUGGGUUGUAAACUUCUUUUAUAAGGGAAUAAAGUGAGGGACGUGUCCCUUUUUGUAUGUACCUUAUGAAUAAGGAUCGGCUAACUCCGUGCCAGCCGCCGC
rnacentral:rRNA from 1 species